UACGGGGGGGGCAAGCGUUGUUCGGAAUUACUGGGCGUAAAGGGCUCGUAGGCGGCCAACUAAGUCGGACGUGAAAUCCCUCGGCUUAACUGGGGAACUGCGUCCGAUACUGGAUGGCUUGAGUUCGGGAGAGGGAUGUGGAAUUCCAGGUGUAGCGGUGAAAUGCGUAGAUAUCUGGAGGAACACCGGUGGCGAAGGCGGCAUCCUGGACCGACACUGACGCUGAUGAGCGAAAGCCAGGGGAGCAAACGGG
rnacentral:rRNA from 1 species